rnacentral:misc_RNA from 1 species
GAUGAAGAACGUAGUGAACCGCGAUAUUUUUUGUGACUUGCAGAUGUGAAUCAUCAAUCUUUGAACGCACAUUGCGCGGUGUGGCAUUCCGCACCGCACGGAUGGACGAGCGUGUUCCCUCUGGGAUCGCAUUGCUUUUCUGAAAUGAAUGAAUUACUUCAAUACACUCUUUUCACCUCGUUCAUCCGAGACUACCCGCUGAACUUAAGCAUAUCAAUAAGCGGAGGA